AGCAGUGUGGCCUAAUGGAAAGAGUGCUGGCCUGGGAGUCAGAUGACCUGGGUUCUAAUUCCAGCUCUGCCU
rnacentral:tRNA from 1 species